UUCCGGUUGAUCCUGCCGGAGGCUACCGCUAUUGGAGUUCGAUUAAGCCAUGCGAGUCGCGAGUCUUAGGGACUCGGCGUACCGCUCAGUAACACGUGGGUAACCUGCCCUAUGCUGGGGGAUAACCUCGGGAAACUGAGAAUAAUACCCCAUAGUUCACCACGCCUGGAACGGUGGGUGGACCAAAGCUCCGGCGGCAUAGGAUGGGCCUGCGGCGUAUCAGGUUGUAGGGGGUGUAAUGUACCCUCUAGCCCUCUACGCGUACGGGUGUUGAGAGACAUCGCCCGGAGAUGGAUUCUGAGACACGAAUCCAGACCCUACGGGGUGCAGCAGGCGCGAAAACUUGGCAAUGCGAGAAAUCGUGACCAGGGAACUCCAAGUGCAUCGGGUAAGACCGAUGCUUUUCUUGACUCUUCAAAGGUCUUGGAAUAAGGGGUGGGUAAGGACGGUGCCAGCCGCCGCGGUAAUACCGGCGCCCCAAGUGGUAGUCGCUUUUAUUGGGCCUAAAACGUCCGUAGCCGGUCUGAUACAUUCGUGGGUAAAUCAACUAGCUCAACUAGUUGAAUUCUGCGAGGACGGUCAGACUUGGGACCGGGAGAGGUGUGGGGUACGCUCAGGGUAGGGGUAAAAUCCUGUCAUCCUAAGCGGACCACCUGUUGCGAAGGCGCCACACUAGAACGGAUCCGACGGUCAGGGACGAAGCCUAGGGGCACGAACCGGAUUAGAUACCCGGGUAGUCCCAGCUGUAAACGAUGCAGACUCGAUGAUGCAUUGGCAUAUAGCCAGUGCAGUGUCGCAGGGAAGCCGUUAAGUCUGCCGCCUGGGAAGUACGUACGCAAGUAUGAAACUUAAAGGAAUUGGCGGGGGAGCACCACAAGGGGUGAAGCCUGCGGUUCAAUUGGAUUCAACGCCGG
rnacentral:rRNA from 1 species